rnacentral:lncRNA from 1 species
UUUUUUUCCUUUUUUUUUUUUUUUUUUUUUGUAUUUUUAGUAGAGACAGGGUUUCACGAUGUUGGCCAUGUUGGUCUCAAACUCCUUCUCUGCUUCAGGCAGUCUUCAAAAGGUAUAGGAAACUACCAGCUCUGUUUCACUAGCCCUUCGGUUUACUUGAUCUUUCUCAUUGGUUUUGAACAAAAUACGCUCAUCUUUGCAUGAGCUCUUAUUGUGCCUUUCUGAGAUAAUUAAUGAAAGGGGGUUGUUUUUGGUCUUUUGGGUUGUAUUUUCACCCCAACCUCAAUCAGUCUCUGACGUUAUCCAAAUAAACAUCUUGUUAUAUCAUGUUCCAGGUAUCAGGGCUUUUACCAUGUGGGCUUUGAAUCAGCUUGACUUGACCCUGGUGGUUUGCCUUCAAAUCCAACAGUGGGGCUGAGUGUUUUGCACUGUGGCACAAUAACCAUUAUGCCACGUUCUUAGGCUACUGACACUUUGCUGUUGGUAACUCCAUGCAGUCUCCAAAUAGCAAAUCUCCUAAAUCAUUCAACUCCUCAUAAAAGAGACAAAAGCUACAGAUACUGUCAUUCCCACUUUUCAGGAGAGUGAGGUAUAUAUAUACACACACAUAUAUAUAUGUAUGUGUGUAU